AAAAUAUUAAACGUGGGAACUAAACAAGAUUAACUGUUCUCAUCAGUUUAACUAAUAUCUGAUGUGUGGGCCAUAUGCUCACUUCGAUAUUAAAUUUAUUAUUUGUGGGGGAGGGCUUCGAUAUUAAAUUUAUUAUUUGUGGGGGAGGGCUCAUCACAGUGGCAAGCCCUUGCCACU
rnacentral:snRNA from 1 species